GACGAACGCUGGCGGCGUGCUUAACACAUGCAAGUCGAACGGAAAGGCCCUGCUUUUGUGGGGUGCUCGAGUGGCGAACGGGUGAGUAACACGUGAGUAACCUGCCCUUGACUUUGGGAUAACUUCAGGAAACUGGGGCUAAUACCGGCUAGGAGCUCCUGCUGCAUGGUGGGGGUUGGAAAGUUUCUGCGGUUUGGGAUGGACUCGCGGCUUAUCAGCUUGUUGGUGGGGUAGUGGCGUACCAAGGCUUUGCCGGGUAGCCGGCCUGAGAGGGUGACCGGCGACAUGGGGACUGAGAUACGGCGCAGACUCCUACGGGAGGCAGCAGUGGGGAAUAUUGCACAAUGGGCGGAAGCCUGAUGCAGCAACGCCGCGUGCGGGAUGACGGCCUUCGGGUUGUAAACCGCUUUCGCCUGUGACGAAGCGUGAGUGACGGUAAUGGGUAAAGAAGCACCGGCUAACUACGUG
rnacentral:rRNA from 1 species